rnacentral:rRNA from 1 species
ACGGAAGGCAGCAGUGAGGAAUAUUGGUCAAUGGACGCAAGUCUGAACCAGCCAUGCCGCGUGCAGGAAUAAGGCCCUAUGGGUCGUAAACUGCUUUUGUGGUGGAGCAAUAAGUCGUACGUGUACGGCGAUGAGAGUACAUCACGAAUAAGCAUCGGCUAACUCCGUGCCAGCAGCCGCGGUAAUACGGAGGAUGCAAGCGUUAUCCGGAUUUAUUGGGUCUAAAGGGUGCGUAGGCUGUGGUCCAAGUCAGGGGUGAAAGCCCGGAGCUCAACUCCGGAACUGCCUUUGAUACUGGAUUGCUGGAAUACGGAUGCCGUGGGAGGAAUGAGUAGUGUAGCGGUGAAAUGCAUAGAUAUUACUCAGAACACCGAUUGCGAAGGCAUCUCACGAAUCCGUCAUUGACGCUGAGGCACGAAAGCGUGGGGAUCAAACAGGAUUAGAUACCCUGGUA